rnacentral:rRNA from 1 species
CGACCCCAGGUCAGGCGGGGCCACCCGCUGAGUUUAAGCAUAUCAAUAAGCGGAGGAAAAGAAACUAACGAGGAUUCCCCUAGUAACGGCGAGCGAACCGGGAAAUGCCCACCGUGAAAAUCGGGCGCCGUCGGCGCUCGA